AAAACGGCCCUUCUCAGGGCCACCAUUUUUUUACAAUCAUAAGAGU
rfam:Aedes albopictus isolate Foshan contig66788, whole genome shotgun sequence.